UAACUGUCUCGGGUAACCGCGGAUCGGAAUGAUCUGAGGAAAGUCCGAGCUCCACAGGGCAGGAUGCUGGAUAACGUCCAGGGGGGGCGACCCCACGGAAAGUGCCACAGAAAAGGAAACGCCUAACAAGCGAUUGGUCGUUCCAAUCUUGUUAAGGCAAAGCUGAAAAGGUGCGGUAAGAGCGCACCAGCGGUCGAGGAAUCGGCCGGCUUGGAAAACCCCAUCCGGAGCAAGGCUAAAUAGGGGAGAGAUAAAACGGCCCGUUUUUCUCCCGGGUUAGCUGCUGGAGGCGUCGGGCAACCGGUGCCCUAGAUAAAUGGUUACCGCCCGCAAGGGUACAGAACUCGGCUUAUAGAGACAGUUAUUAU
rnacentral:RNase_P_RNA from 1 species